ACGCGACGACUGUCCUCCAAAAGCCAUCGUGUCCGCCUGAGUGCGGGGAGUCGUGAUAAAGUUCCAAGAUUCGAGGCACCAUUGUUUCGGGGACUGCGAACUUUCCGUUGAGGAACUGGAGUUCUUCAGUUCCCUCCCACAACAGGUUUGCGUUGAUGUUUUCUUGAUCAGGAAUGACCGCAAGUCUCGAAAGUGCAUCUGCAUCCUUUAGGUGCUCCCCAGGCCUGUGAUGGACCACGAAUGUAAACUGCUGGAGUUCGGCCACCCACCUAGCGAUCUUUCCUCUAGGCUCUGCGAGGUUAAGGAUGUAAGUCAAGGCUUGAUGAUCCGUGAAGAGCGUGAAGCUCCUGCCAUCCAGGUAAGGUCUAAAAUAGCGUACGGCCAUUAGGACUGCCAAGGCUUCUUUCUCUGUAGUCGUGUAGUUAAGUUGCGCUUUCGAGAAGGUGUACGAAUAGUAUCCGACGACCCUCUGUUGCCGGCUCCGCGGACAGUCGGCAUCUCUUUGGUAAAGCACUGCACCUGUGC
rnacentral:lncRNA from 1 species